rnacentral:rRNA from 1 species
UACGGGGGGGGCAAGCGUUGUUCGGAAUUACUGGGCGUAAAGCGUGCGUAGGUGGUGAGUUAAGUCUGAUGUGAAAUCCCCGGGCUCAACCUGGGAAUGGCAUUGGAUACUGGCUCGCUCGAGUGCGGUAGAGGGUGGUGGAAUUCCCGGUGUAGCAGUGAAAUGCGUAGAGAUCGGGAGGAACAUCUGUGGCGAAGGCGGCCACCUGGACCAGCACUGACACUGAGGCACGAAAGCGUGGGGAGCAAACAGG